rnacentral:rRNA from 1 species
AUGAGGGCCUUAUUCUGGAAUAUUAGAGGGUUCGGUGCUAGGGGGCGCCGUGACCAACUGAAAGAUUUGGUUCGUUCUAACUCUAUUGACUUUGUGGGGCUGGUUGAAACGUUUAAGGAUUCCUUUACCCCCAGUGAGCUUUCUGCUAUCGUGGGUAUGGAUAGAUUUCAGUGGCAAUCUUUACCGGCUUCGGGCCACUCUGGUGGGAUUCUGAUCGGUUCUAAUAAGGAUAUUUUUGACUUUGUUGCUUUUGAUCAUGGGUUUUAUUGGGCUAGUGUUGUUCUCUCGCAUAGAUCUAUGAAUGCCCUCUGUGAAUUUAUAGUUGUUUAUGGGCCUGCGGAUCACUCCUUUUCGCACCUUUUCCUUGAUGAACUUUCGAUCAAGCUUGAGUCCUGUUCUCUCCCGACGGUGAUUGGGGGAGACUUUAAUCUUCUG